UACGGAGGGGGCUAGCGUUGUUCGGAAUUACUGGGCGUAAAGCGCACGUAGGCGGCUUUGUAAGUUAGAGGUGAAAGCCCGGGGCUCAACUCCGGAAUUGCCUUUAAGACUGCAUCGCUAGAAUUGUGGAGAGGUAAGUGGAAUUCCGAGUAUAGAGGUGAAAUUCGUAGAUAUUCGGAAGAACACCAGUGGCGAAGGCGACUUACUGGACACAUAUUGACGCUGAGGUGCGAAAGCGUGGGGAGCAAACAGG
rnacentral:rRNA from 1 species